GAUGAACGCUGGCGGCGUGCCUAAUACAUGCAAGUCGAGCGCACAGACGCGGAGCUUGCUCCUCUGACGUUAGCGGCACACGGGUGAAUAACAUGUGCAAAACACACCUAUAAGACUGGGUAAACUCCGGGAACCCGGAGCAAUUACCGGAUAAUAUAUUGAACCGCAUGGCUGAAUAGUGAAAGACGGUAAUGCUGUCACAUAGAGAUGUAUCCGCGCUGCGUAAGCUAGAUGGUAAGGCAACGCCUUACCAAGAUAACGAUCCGUAGCCGACCGGGGAGGGUAGUCUGCCACACUAGAACUGAGACACGGUCCAGACUCCUACGGGAGGCAGCAGUAGAGAAUCGUCCGCAAUGGGCGAAAGCCUGACGGAACAACGCCGCGUGGGUGAUGAGGGUCUUCGGAUCGUAAAACUCUGUUAUUAGGGAAGAACAAAUGUGUAAGUAACUAUUCACGUCUUGACGGUACCUAAUCAGAAAGCCACGGCUAACUACGUG
rnacentral:rRNA from 1 species